AUAUUACUAAGCGGAGGAGAAGAAAUUAACUAAGAUUGCCUUAGUAAGGGCGACUGAACCGGCAAAAGCUCAAAAUUAAAAUCGAAAGUUCAAUGAAUUUUCGAAUUGUAAUCAGGGUACCCGAAAUACGAGAGGUCACUCAACUGUUAUGAAUGCAGGCCAAAGAGGGUGCAGGCCCCGUGCAGUGAUCUCGAAGAAAAGGGGACUCG
rnacentral:rRNA from 1 species